rnacentral:rRNA from 1 species
UAGGGAAUCUUCCACAAUGGACGCAAGUCUGAUGGAGCAACGCCGCGUGAGUGAAGAAGGUUUUCGGACCGUAAAGCUCUGUUGUUGGUGAAGAAGGAUAGAGGUAGUAACUGGCCUUUAUUUGACGGUAAUCAACCAGAAAGUCACGGCUAACUACGUGCCAGCAGCCGCGGUAAUACGUAGGUGGCAAGCGUUGUCCGGAUUUAUUGGGCGUAAAGCGAGCGCAGGCGGAAGAAUAAGUCUGAUGUGAAAGCCCUCGGCUUAACCGAGGAAUUGCAUCGGAAACUGUUUUUCUUGAGUGCAGAAGAGGAGAGUAGAACUCCAUGUGUAGCGGUGGAAUGCGUAGAUAUAUGGAAGAAUACCAGUGGCGAAGGCGGCUCUCUGGUCUGCAAACUGACGCUGAGGCUCGAAAGCAUGGGUAGCGAACAGGAUUAGAUACCCUGGUAGUCCAUGCCGUAAACGAUGAGUGCUAAGUGUUGGGAGGCUUCCGCCUCUCAGUGCUGCAGCUAACGCAUUAAGCACUCCGCCUGGGGGAGUACGACCGCAAGGUUGAAAC